AGAGGCUUAGGAUAAAAAUUAAACCGAAAGCCUUCAAAGCUUUAAACAGGAGUGAAAAUCUCCUAGCCCCUG
rnacentral:tRNA from 1 species